GUCCACGCUGUAAACGAUGAACACUAGAUAUUGGAGGAUUUGACCCCUUCAGUGUCGCAGCUAACGCGUUAAGUGUUCCGCCUGGGAAGUACGGUAGCAAGACUAAAACUCAAAGGAAUUGACGGGGGCCCGCACAAGCGGUGGAUUAUGUGGUUUAAUUCGAAGCAACGCGCAGAACCUUACCUAGGCUUGAAAUCCCAUGAAUCCCUUUUAAACGAGGGAGUGCUCUUCGGAGAAUAUGGUGACAGGCGCUGCAUGGCUGUCGU
rnacentral:rRNA from 1 species